UACGGGGGGAGCAAGCGUUGUUCGGAUUUACUGGGCGUAAAGGGCGCGUAGGCGGUCAGCACAAGUCAGUUGUGAAAUCUCCGGGCUUAACUCGGAAAGGUCAACUGAUACUGUGCGACUAGAGUGCGGAAGGGGCAACUGGAAUUCUCGGUGUAGCGGUGAAAUGCGUAGAUAUCGAGAGGAACACCUGCGGCGAAGGCGGGUUACUGGGCCGACACUGACGCUGAGGCACGAAGGCCAGGGGAGCAAACGGG
rnacentral:rRNA from 1 species